GAUCUUCAAGAAGCACGCAUCAUACCGCCAUACCGCAGGAUACCGAAGACGAAGAUGAGCUUUGACAUAACGUCAUACGUGACAACGAUGUAAAAGUCGAACAGAAAGUAGUAGGUACUUGUCCGGCGUCGCGGCGCGCGCGGAGAGAGAGAAUCAGGUGCGGGGGAGGGCGUCCUUGCGCGCCGCGACGCUCGUGCUUCGGCGAUCGGCGCCCAGUGAGUCUCGCUGCCGCGUCGGCUUCAGGUGGCUGUCCUUUCUCGGCAGAGCGUAAAUACGAUUACCGACUUAGCAUGUUUAUAAAUAACUCGCCGCGUGUUUGAUUCGAAACCAUGUGCUCGCGAAAGUUCGUUAAUUAAAACCCGUCCGAUCCUUUCUCGCAAAAGUUCGACAGUUCCUCGUUUUAAAUCGCAGCGUUUUUAUCAAUCGUCAGAAAUGAGUACAUUCGGCACAAAUAGCUCAGGGCGCAACCGUAACAGCGCAGGUCCCGAAGAACAGUUCCUGUUGACCGAGCGACAUCGCAAUGGCAUUAUUGCCCCUCAUUCUAGAGGCAGCACUCUCGGCAGGCGUGGAGCGGGCCCUGAGACGGGAAAGCCGACGCUGGUGGCCGAGCCGGUGAAGCUGACCCCGGCCUGGGAAGAAAAGAACCUCCCCAACGAUGAGCUCAACUUCAAAAGCGUCACCAUGGAUCAGGCCGACUUAGAAAUUAAUCCUCCAAUGAUAGGUGAGUUCUCCCUCCUUAUCCCCUCCUUUUUUUCGUCCUCCGUCAUGCGACUACGUUUUUUUUUUUUUUUUUUUAAAUACUUUCCUUUUCUUAAAGGCUAUUCCUGAUCUGAGAGAGAAAAGGGUCCAAGAACCGUUG
rnacentral:lncRNA from 1 species